GAUGGUGUCUGUAGAAUUUAUGUAUAAAUUGUUGGUUGUGAUCCACACACAUUAUCAAAUUCCUGGUGCCAGGUAAAACUGGUAAUUUUUUAAUUGUAGUAUACCUAUAUCGUCUCAGAAACAGAGUUUGAAGAAUUGCUUGGAUGAAAGUGGGUAGCUGGCAUGAUUGUAGCAUAUAAAGAGCUAUUUCUUCAUAGACCUUUGUCUUUCUGGCAGCCUCCACUGCUAGUUUAAUUUAUGUAAGUGAAUGCAGAGAAAGAAAAGUUGUAAAACUGCUUGCUUACAGAGAGCAUAAUUCAAAUGGUGUAAUGAGAACUGCAUUUCAGUAUUUGAUAUAGUGCAUCCAUCUGAGAGAAGAACCACUCAAAAAAGCCAUUUUUCACCAUCUUAGGUUUCAGAUGCAAAUACGCUGACUGCUGAGGACUAAUGUUUUGUUAGUUGUCUUUGUAAUUUGAAUGUCACAGGCAAGCAGUGGAUGGUCCCAAUUAUAUGAUGUUGUGUAAGGGUCCCUUCUUGACCAUCAAGAAUCUCUAUCAGAAGGCUGUUUAGUGCUCCCUGUAUAAGCAUGACAGACAUGACUUUAACUAGAAACUACCCCAAAACUUUCUUUUAGUGUUCAGCAGUUAAAAGGAUCCAUUCCAGAGUAGGUCUCUGCAAGUGGCUAUGACAUAUAGCUUUAAUAAUUAGACCUGGCAUUCAUUUUGUUCUUCUCAUCUGACACUUCAGUAGUAGUUAGUUAAUAUAACACUAAGUGGCAGGUUUUUUACAUGCUACUGUAGGGGCAACUGAGAAAAUGAAGUUGCCUUUAAAUUACCUCAGAAUAGAAUGAAGAAGGAAGUCAAGCAGCCAGCCUGGUCAUUAGGAUCCUAACAAUCACAUUAAUGUAUCAGUGAAGAAUCGAAAUAAUCACAACUUGUGUAAUAAUCACAACUACAAGCCUGUUGCCCUGUAGGGAAGAAGUGAAUCUUAACACUCUGCCUCAAGAGACAGGUCUGAGCCAGGGGUCUGCUGUGAGGAGCUCAAUCCUCAUCAGAGAAUAUUUCACUACUUCUGGUGUGCUUAGAUAUGUGGCAGCUUCCCCUUUGCCUGCACUUCCUCUUUUAGUUGUUUUUUAGAAGACUCUUGAGGCGGUAAAAUAAGAUCUUUAGUGUUAGUCGUAGUUCACAGGAGGAAUCUGGCCUAAAUUCAUAGCAAUCUGAAGCAAUUGCGUGGGUAAAUCGAAGAACAAAAGCAAGAUAUGCAGAGCCCCCACUGCUCACAUUGUAAAGGGCAGGGCAACCAAAAUAGCAGACAAAGUCGGGGAGGCCUCCAUUAGGCCUUCAGCAACAUCCCUAGGUGCUCCUUGAAGGAGGAGUCCCUGUCAGCAAUCUGGGUUUUAUGGAAAGGCUCCAGCCCUUUUCUGAGAGCAGCGUGCAAUGCCUGAUCCAUCUGUCGAAACAAAGGAUCAAGGACUGAUAAUCAGGCAGAAGGACAUCCUGUGUUAUUUAAGAUUUUCAGAAAUUAGUAUUAAAAGUGGAGCAAUACACUGAAGACAAGAGCAUAAAAUCAGUUUAAGUCAAAGGUGAAGCUGCCAUAUUAAUUCUUCUUGCAGGGAAUUGUUCUCAGUACAAGCUGUUAAUUUAUGAGCUGCAUUAAAUACCAUUCUCAAGUUUGACCAUAAUGAAAGUCCUGAAGACUAGCUAGGUUCAGAUGAGGAUUAAAAGGGCCAUUACUGGGCAGUAGCAGAGUAUAUACAUUACCAAUGAUUUAAUUUUGUUUCUUCGUAUUUGUUACAAAUAAGAAGGAAAUCAAAUUAAUGUCUUUUCAUCUUGGCAAAUUUGUAGCUUGGUUUGCUAGGAGCUUACUGUUUCCUUUUAGAAGCAGUACACAGAGAAGUGUACUGACAAAGAGCCCAGUUCACUGGAGAUAGGAAACAAAACUCAGAGUAAUCCUCAGCCUGUCACAGAAGAUAAUGCCUUGCUCAGCAAUUUAUCUUAAGCACACAAGCUGAUACAGCUAUGAAGAGGAAUUCCUUCGCACUUCAGAGUUUCUGUGUGCCAGUCCAUCAUGUUUGAUUGUUUAAGCUUCAUGGACCUUAGAUGUAUGACUAGACAAUAUAGUCCUGUGCUUUGUAAGGAGUCACAACUGCCUUCAGAUUAGGUAUGUAUGAAAGGCUAUUAAAUAGCUCAUGUGCUAAGUGGAAAGUGUGUUGCACUCAUUCUGCUAUUUCCUUCCUGUUUCAUCUAAUGCAAAUCUCUUCUAUGCCUCAGCUUUCCCACUUGCGCCAAGUCAUGGAGCUAUUGCAAACAUAAACCAGAGCAUGUAAAGCUCUAGUGAAAUGAUGGGUACAUGUGCAUAGCAGUACUCAUAUGCAGAAGCACACUUGUAUAUGCAGAUUUCACUUAAUGAUAGCCAAUGCCAUGAUUUAACCAAAUAUUAGCAAAGAACUGAGGUGAGUUGUUCUGGUGUUCUGCCUCUGUAUUUUUCUGAAAUGCAGUGUAGAUGAUUGUCCUGGUUUUGGCCAAGGACAGGGUUAAUUUUUGGCAACAUUGGUUGGGGAGUGGCCAGACCCUAAUAUUAUACCAUAUCACCUCAGACCACUGCCAGGGACAGGCUAAGCGACUCUUUCUUCCAAGAAGAGUGAGAUUUCUGGAUGGGAGAAAGCAUGGUGGGGAAGAGUUGGUUGGGAUUCCUUGUGGGCUUUCCAUGUAAAUUAUUUCUAUGUCUUAAACAUUUUGGUUUUAAUAUUGCUGUUACUGUUAAUUUUCUUAUUGCACUGCUGUUUCCAGUAAAUUUUUCUUACCUCAACCUGAUUUUAACCUUUCGUGCCUCUGAUUCUCCUCUCCAUGCUGCUGGAGUGGGAAGUACGAGGGGAAGGUGUGGUGCUUGCCAGAGAAAGGGGGGGAGUGAAUGGCAAUUCAGUUUGGGAGAGACUUGUUGGGAGCAUUGAACUGGGGACUACCAUUCCCAAACCACAGAUAUGUACCAUAAGGAUGUUUACUUCUCUGUUAGUUGUAAGAUUCUGCAUUAAACAUGCUAGUCUAAAGAAGAUAAAACAGAAAUUACAUAUGUAUGAAGUUUAAUCCAACCACAUAAAUUGUGUAUCUGUUCAUUCUACUAGACUUACUGCAUUAGUAAGAUGCAUGUUUAAAAGAAAUGGAAGGGGUAAGCACAGAAUAUUAUGUCAUUAAAUGGAUUUCAAAUAGCCAUGGAAAAAUCCUUGGAGGUAAUUUUAUACAGCCUACUGCUCAGAGCAGGGCUCCUUUCAAAGAUAAAUCAGGCUUAUUGGCUGGGCAAGUUUUGUGUUUGCAACUUACAUCAGACUUUAUUACUCAAUUUUGAUUAACAUAUCUUUAUGAUGCUAGUUUCUUUUAGCAACGAGUUGACAAGGCUUUCUGGUACAAGGACACAAAACAAGGCAUUGUUCUCUGAAAAAAUAAAUGGAUUCAAAUGCAGAUGUCAGCCAUCAGAGUAAGAAUGAGUUCAUUGGCACAACUAGCAUAAUGCUUUCAAUGAAAAUAAAUAUAUUUCAGGACCUGACUCCUGAAGCAAGGUUUAUAUACUGACAUGGUUAAUACUGAGUCUUUUUCUUAACUCACAGCCUCAGUCAGUAGCUCCGAGACUCACAUUGUGCAUAGUCAGGUUACAUGGGAAAUCCAGCAAUAAUCUGGAUUUACUUUAUGUUGUUUGGAAGUCUCAUACACAUGCCUACUGUACUGGUCAUGCAAUAACAGCAUAAAUACAUUUCCAAAAGCUUCAAGCUAAGAGUGUGAGAAAAGGCCUUAAGGACGUAGUGUUGCCGACCUUCAAAUGUUUCUAUUCAGUUUUAUAGAACUAUGCCACUAAGAAUAUUUUUAAAAUCAAGAUUUCUCUUAAACUUAACAAAAUUAUGAUACAUUGCUGUGAUUGUGACAUUUACAUUGUGAUAGUGCUAAACCAUCUAUGUCCCAAAGAAGUGGAGAAUUUAUUAAAAGUGUAAGUUAAAGGAGAGAAAAAGGAAAGUGUCUUGGGCUGAUUAGUUGAUUCAUCCCAAUGACAAAAAGUAAAAAUCAACACAGCUUGUAUCAUUAUACCAUUUUGUCUUUAGGACAGAGGACUGGCAUAGAAGCUGAAUGUACUGUACUAAUCUGCCCAUCCCUUGCUGUGUUAAAGGAGGACAGGUGAAUAAAAUGUGUUAUUAGAAAACUGCCUGGUGGCAUUAAAAAAAAAAAAAAAAUCAGUAAUUUGUUAGCUCUUUGAUAAAGCUGUAGUACUGAACAUGUAAAUGGUUUCCUGACCUUGCCUGAUUUGGUUCCAAUCCUUCAAUGCCUUCUCCCUGGAAGCAGGCAUUUUUUCACUGUAACCAGUCUUUAAUAAAUCAUUAAAACAGUAA
rnacentral:lncRNA from 1 species